rnacentral:rRNA from 1 species
UACGGGAGGCAGCAGUGGGGAAUAUUGCACAAUGGGCGCAAGCCUGAUGCAGCCAUGCCGCGUGUAUGAAGAAGGCCUUCGGGUUGUAAAGUACUUUCAGUCGUGAGGAAGGUGUUAAGGUUAAUAACCUUAGCAAUUGACGUUAGCGACAGAAGAAGCACCGGCUAACUCCGUGCCAGCAGCCGCGGUAAUACGGAGGGUGCGAGCGUUAAUCGGAAUUACUGGGCGUAAAGGGCACGCAGGCGGUUAAUUAAGUUGGAUGUGAAAUCCCCGGGCUUAACCUGGGAAUGGCAUUCAAGACUGGUUAGCUAGAGUCUUGUAGAGGGGGUAGAAUUUUCAUGUGUAGCGGUGAAAUGCGUAGAGAUGUGGAGGAAUACCGGUGGCGAAGGCGGCCCCUGGACAAAGACUGACGCUCAUGUGCGAAAGCGUGGGGAGCAAACAGGGAUUAGAUACC